AAUAGAUACCCAGGUAGUCCACGCCGUAAACGAUGGAUACUAGCUGUUGGGCGCAAGUUCAGUGGCUAAGCGAAAGUGAUAAGUAUCCCACCUGGGGAGUACGUUCGCAAGAAUGAAACUCAAAGGAAUUGACGGGGGCCCGCACAAGCGGUGGAGCAUGUGGUUUAAUUCGAUGAUACGCGAGGAACCUUACCAAGGCUUAAAUGUGGAUUGACCGGUUUGGAAACAGAUCUUUCGCAAGACAAUUUACAAGGUGCUGCAUGGUUGUCGUCAGCUCGUGCCGUGAGGUGUCAGGUUAAGUCCUAUAACGAGCGCAACCCCUGUUGUUAGUUGCCAGCGAGUCAAGUCGGGAACUCUAACAAGACUGCCAGUGCAAACUGUGAGGAAGGUGGGGAUGACGUCAAAUCAUCACGGCCCUUACGCCUUGGGCUACACACGUGCUACAAUGGCCGGUACAGAGAGCAGCCACUGGGUGACCAGGAGCGAAUCUAUAAAACCGGUCACAGUUCGGAUCGGAGU
rnacentral:rRNA from 1 species